rnacentral:rRNA from 1 species
GCGGAGGAAAAGAAAAUAACAAUGAUUCCCUCAGUAACGGCGAGUGAACAGGGAAAAGCUCAAAGUUGGAACCUCCUUGGCCUAGCCAAGGCGGAUUGUAAACUAAAGUUUUUGGGUAGUUUGGCUAGCCUGGUAAAAAAAUCCUCUGGAAAGGGGUGACAUAGAGGGUGAAAUCCCCGUCUUUGGCCAGAGCAUAGUCUUGCGUUUGCCUAGGAACGAAGAGUCAGGUUGUUUGGGAAUGCAGCCUAAAUUGGGAGGUAAAUCUCUCCUAAAGCUAAAUAUUGACGAAAGACCGAUAGCGAACAAGUACCGUGAGGGAAAGAUGAAAAGCACUUUGAAAAGAGGGUCAAAAAGUACGUGAAAUCGCUGAGAGGGAACCGUAUGAAAUCAGUCUGAUUGCCUGGUAAUCAACCUAAGAUUCGUCUUUGGUGCACUUGCCAGAUAAUUAGCCAACAACAGUUUGGUGUGGAGGAAAAAACUUGCUGGAAUGUAGCCACGGCCUUCGGUCUUGGUGUUAUAGCCGGUAAGAAAAUACUUUGUACUAGACUGAGGAAUGCAGUGAACCCUUCGGGGCAAGAAUUCGGUGCGCUUUUGUUUGAAUAAUGGUGAAUCUCUGCUUCGGGUGGUGCGCUAUUAUUCGGGCGAAACUCGYAUCGAUUUUCUUUAUUUCACUUAGGUUGUUGGCCUAAUGAUUUAUAUGAC